rnacentral:rRNA from 1 species
UCGAGGAUCUUCGGCAAUGAGCGCAAGCUUGACCGAGCGACGCCGCGUGUGCGAUGAAGGCCUUCGGGUUGUAAAGCACUGUCGGGGGGGAGAAAAGCCGAAAGGUUUGAUCUAUCCCCGGAGGAAGCACGGGCUAAGUUCGUGCCAGCAGCCGCGGUAAGACGAACCGUGCGAACGUUGUUCGGAAUCACUGGGCUUAAAGGGCGCGUAGGCGGGCCCUCAAGUCCGGGGUGAAAUCCUCCCGCCUAACGGGAGAAGAGCCUCGGAGACUGAGGGCCUCGAGGGGGGUAGGGGCGUGCGGAACUAUGGGUGGAGCGGUGAAAUGCAUUGAUAUCCAUAGGAACUCCGGUGGCGAAGGCGGCACGCUGGACCCCUUCUGACGCUGAGGCGCGAAAGCCAGGGGAGCAAACG